rnacentral:misc_RNA from 1 species
UCCGACUUAACGUCGGCAGUCCCUCUAGAGUGCCCAACUGAAUGCUGGCAACUAAAGGCAAGGGUUGCGCUCGUUGCGGGACUUAACCCAACAUCUCACGACACGAGCUGACGACAGCCAUGCAGCACCUGUAGACAAGCUCUUGCGAGAAGACCAUUUCUGAUACUUUUCUUAUCUAUUUCAAACCCAGGUAAGGUUUUUCGCGUUGCAUCGAAUUAAACCACAUGCUCCACCGCUUGUGCGGGCCCCCGUCAAUUUCUUUGAGUUUUAAUCUUGCGACCGUACUUCCCAGGCGGGAUACUUAACGCGUUAGCUUCGUCACUGAAGGGGUCAAUACCUCCAACAACAAGUAUCCAUCGUUUACGGCGUGGACUAC